UACGGGGGGGGCAAGCGUUGUUCGGAAUUACUGGGCGUAAAGGGCUCGUAGGUGGCCAACUAAGUCAGACGUGAAAUCCCUCAGCUUAACUGGGGAACUGCGUCUGAUACUGGAUGGCUUGAAUCCGGGAGAGGGAUGUGGAAUUCCAGGUGUAGCGGUGAAAUGCGUAGAUAUCUGGAGGAACACCGGUGGCGAAGGCGGCAUCCUGGACCGGCAUUGACGCUGAGGCGCGAAAGCGUGGGGAGCAAACAGG
rnacentral:rRNA from 1 species